GAGGGUAUAGCUCAGUGGUAGAGCACAUGCUUAGCAUGUGGGAGGUCCUGGUUCAAUCCCCAGUUCCUCCA
rnacentral:tRNA from 1 species